UUUAUGGAGAGUUUGAUCCUGGCUCAGGAUGAACGCUGGCGGCGUGCCUAAUACAUGCAAGUCGAGCGAACGGACGAGAAGCUUGCUUCUCUGAUGUUAGCGGCGGACGGGUGAGUAACACGUGGAUAACCUACCUAUAAGACUGGGAUAACUUCGGGAAACCGGAGCUAAUACCGGAUAAUAUUUUGAACCGCAUGGUUCAAAAGUGAAAGACGGUCUUGCUGUCACUUAUAGAUGGAUCCGCGCUGCAUUAGCUAGUUGGUAAGGUAACGGCUUACCAAGGCAACGAUGCAUAGCCGACCUGAGAGGGUGAUCGGCCACACUGGAACUGAGACACGGUCCAGACUCCUACGGGAGGCAGCAGUAGGGAAUCUUCCGCAAUGGGCGAAAGCCUGACGGAGCAACGCCGCGUGAGUGAUGAAGGUCUUCGGAUCGUAAAACUCUGUUAUUAGGGAAGAACAUAUGUGUAAGUAACUGUGCACAUCUUGACGGUACCUAAUCAGAAAGCCACGGCUAACUACGUGCCAGCAGCCGCGGUAAUACGUAGGUGGCAAGCGUUAUCCGGAAUUAUUGGGCGUAAAGCGCGCGUAGGCGGUUUUUUAAGUCUGAUGUGAAAGCCCACGGCUCAACCGUGGAGGGUCAUUGGAAACUGGAAAACUUGAGUGCAGAAGAGGAAAGUGGAAUUCCAUGUGUAGCGGUGAAAUGCGCAGAGAUAUGGAGGAACACCAGUGGCGAAGGCGACUUUCUGGUCUGUAACUGACGCUGAUGUGCGAAAGCGUGGGGAUCAAACAGGAUUAGAUACCCUGGUAGUCCACGCCGUAAACGAUGAGUGCUAAGUGUUAGGGGGUUUCCGCCCCUUAGUGCUGCAGCUAACGCAUUAAGCACUCCGCCUGGGGAGUACGACCGCAAGGUUGAAACUCAAAGGAAUUGACGGGGACCCGCACAAGCGGUGGAGCAUGUGGUUUAAUUCGAAGCAACGCGAAGAACCUUACCAAAUCUUGACAUCCUUUGACAACUCUAGAGAU
rnacentral:rRNA from 1 species